rnacentral:rRNA from 1 species
UACGUAGGGGGGCAAGCGUUGUCCGGAUUUAUUGGGCGUAAAGAGCGUGUAGGCGGUCCGGUAAGUCGGCUGUGAAAGUCCAGGGCUCAACCCUGGGAUGCCGGUCGAUACUGAGGACCUCGAGUCCGGGAGAGGUGAGUGGAACUCCGAGUGUAGAGGUGAAAUUCGUAGAUAUUCGGAAGAACACCAGUGGCGAAGGCGGCUCACUGGCCCGGUACUGACGCUGAGGUGCGAAAGCGUGGGGAGCAAACAGG